UCCCGGUCAGCAACUGACAACCCGACGAGGUGCACCGUACCGGGCCAGACAAGACGGUGUUGC
rnacentral:ncRNA from 1 species